rnacentral:tRNA from 1 species
GGGGAGGUGGUCGAGUGGUUAAUGGCAUCAGACUGUAAAUCUGACCUCGAGAGAGUACGCUGGUUCGAAUCCAGCCCUCCCCACCA